rnacentral:rRNA from 1 species
ACUCUAUUGAGGCCCCGUAAUUGGAAUGAGUACAAUUUAAAUCCUUUAACGAGGAUCUAUUGGAGGGCAAGUCUGGUGCCAGCAGCCGCGGUAAUUCCAGCUCCAAUAGCGUAUAUUAAAGUUGCUGCGGUUAAAAAGCUCGUAGUUGGAUUUCAGUCGAACCUAUGGGGUCCACUGAUUAAAGGGUUAGAUGGUGAUGUUAGGUUUCUUGCUUGUGUCUACGGAUGCUAGCUUGAACCUUCAUUCCUCUUUCCUGGUGGUUACAUUCAUAGUGUUUAGACAGAAAAUUGCUCGAUAUUUGCUAUCAAUGCUCUUUACCGAGUGUUGAUUCAAGCGAUCGAGACUUUUACCUUGAAAAAAUCAGAGUGCUCAAAGCAGGCGUCCAAAACCUCGAAAGAGGUGCCUAAAAACGGUAUGGUCAACCAUCUAUAUGAUGCGUACCACUACCUUAACUUGAAUGAUCUGCAUGGAAUAAUGGAAUAGGACCUUGGUUCUAUUUUGUUGGUCUUAAGAAUCCAAGGUAAUGAUUAAGAGGGACAGACGGGGGCAUUUGUAUUGCGGCGCUAGAGGUGAAAUUCUUGGACCGUCGCAAGACAAACUACAGCGAAAGCAUUUGCCAAGAAUGUUUUCAUUAAUCAAGAACGAAAGUUAGAGGUUCGAAGGCGAUCAGAUACCGCCCUAGUUCUAACCAUAAACGAUGCCAACCAGCGAUCAUUCUGAGUAACUAAUUUCAUGACUCGAAUGGAAGCUUCCGGGAAACCAAAGUUUUUGGGUUCCGGGGGAAGUAUGGUGCAAAGCUGAAACUUAAAGGAAUUGACGGAAGGGCACCACCAGGAGUGGAGCUUGCGGCUUAAUUGACUCAACACGGGAAAACUCACCCGGCCCGGACACUGAGAGGAUUGACAGAUUGAGAGCUCUUUCUUGAUUCAGUGGGUGGUGGUGCAUGGCCGUUCUUAGUUGGUGGAGUGAUUUGUCUGGUUAAUUCCGAUAACGAACGAGACUCUAGCCUACUAAAUAGACUUGCAGUUUACACUGCAGUACUCCCCCUUAGUCAACCUGUGGGUGGUAGUAUCUCUUGAUGGUUUCGGCUGUUGAGGGCUCUGCUGCUAUUAGCCUACAGAAUUGGCUAGGGUAAGGAUGCUGUAGCACUGUAAGGACUUCUUAGAGGGACAAGCGGCGCUCGCAGCCGCACGAAACAGAGCAAUAACAGGUCUGUGAUGCCCUUAGAUGUCCGGGGCCGCACGCGUGCUACACUGAAGUGGUCAUCGUGCAUACUGUUCCUGCUCCGAAAGGAGUGGGUAACCGCUUGAACCCAUUUCGUGAUGGGGAUUGGGCAUUGUAAUUAUUGCCCAUGAACGAGGAAUUCCCAGUAAGCGUGAGUCAUUAGCUUGCGUUGAUUACGUCCCUGCCCUUUGUACACACCGCCCGUCGCUACUACCGAUUGAAUGAUUUAGUGAGGACUUCGGACUGGUCAAUCCAGACCAUUGGGAAACUAGUGGUCGGAUUGUGCUGGAAAGAUGUUCAAACUUGAUCAUUUAGAGGAAGUAAAAGUCGUAACAAGGUUUCCGUAGGUGAACCUGCGGAAG